GACGAACGCUGGCGGCGUGCCUAAUACAUGCAAGUCGAACGCAGUGGGGACGGGUGAGUAACACGUGGGUAACCUCCCAUCAGAGGGGAUAACACUUGGAAACAGGUGCUAAACCGAUACUGAUGGAUGGACCCGAGGUGCAUUAGCUAGUUGGUGAGGUAACGGCUCACCAAGGCCACGAUGCAUAGCCGACCGUGGAGGUGAAGCGGCCAAACUGGGACUUAGUAACGGCCAAGAUGCCUACGGGAGGCAGCAGUAGGGAAUCUGCGGCAAUGGACGAAGGUCUGACCGAGCAACGCGGCGUGAGGGAAGAAGGUUUUCGGAUCGUAAAACUCUGUUGUUAGAGAAGCGGUAUCUAACCAGAAAGCCACGGCUAACUACGUGCCAGCCGCCGCGGUAAUAC
rnacentral:rRNA from 1 species